rnacentral:rRNA from 1 species
AACGAACGCUGGCGGCGCGCCUAAUACAUGCAAGUCGAGCGAGAAGACGUAGCAAUACGUUUGUAAAGCGGCGAACGGGUGAGGAAUACAUGGGUAACCUACCCUCGAGUGGGGAAUAACUAGCCGAAAGGUUAGCUAAUACCGCGUACGCUUCUUGGACUUCGGUUCAGGGAGGAAAGCGAUACCGUGGGUAUCGCGCUCUUGGAUGGGCUCAUGUCCUAUCAGCUUGUUGGUGAGGUAACGGCUCACCAAGGCUUCGACGGGUAGCUGGUCUGAGAGGACGAUCAGCCACACUGGCACUGCGACACGGGCCAGACUCCUACGGGAGGCAGCAGUAAGGAAUAUUGCGCAAUGGGCGAAAGCCUGACGCAGCGACGCCGCGUGGGGGAUGAAGGUCUUCGGAUUGUAAACCCCUUUCGGGAGGGAAGAUGGAAUGGGGUAACCCAUUUGGACGGUACCUCCAGAAGCAGCCACGGCUAACUUCGUGCCAGCAGCCGCCGUAAAAC